AAAAAGCAAAGUUUCCAUGCCCAACGUUUGACCGUCUACCUUAUUUGAAAAAAUUAUAAAAAAAUUAAAAAGAUAAGUUACGUAUAAAGUAUUAAUCAUGUUUUAUCAUCUAACAACAAUGAAAAUACUAAUUAUAAAAAAUUUCAUAUAAGACGGACAGUCAAACGUUGGCACGGAAACCCAGGGUUUGCCUUUUU
rfam:Oryza glaberrima chromosome 8 Oglab08_0010_11, whole genome shotgun sequence.